rnacentral:tRNA from 1 species
UCCGACGUAGCUCAAUGGUAGAGCGAUCGGCUGUUAACCGAUUGGUUGUUGGUUCGAGUCCAGCCGUCGGAG